rnacentral:rRNA from 1 species
AACGAACGCUGGCGGCAUGCCUAACACAUGCAAGUCGAACGAGACCUCCGGGUCUUGUGGCGCACGGGUGCGUAACGCGUGGGAAUCUGCCCUUCGGUUGGGAAUACCUGAGAGAAAUUUCAGCUAAUACCUUAUAAUAUCUUCGGACCAAAGAUUUAUGGCAGAGGGAUGAGCCCGCGUAGGAUUAGGUAGUUGGUGGGGUAAUGGCCUACCAAGCCGACGAUGCUUAGCUGGUCUGAGAGGAUGAUCAGCCACACUGGGACUGAGACACGGCCCAGACUCCUACGGGAGGCAGCAGUGGGGAAUAUUGGACAAUGGGCGAAAGCCUGAUCCAGCAAUGCCGCGUAAGUGAUGAAGGCCUUAGGGAUGUAAAGCUCUUUUACCCGGGAUGAUAAUGACAGUACCGGGAGAAUAAGCUCCGGCUAACUCCGUG